rfam:Heligmosomoides polygyrus genome assembly, scaffold: HPBE_scaffold0004841
GCGCCGGUGGUGUAAGGCGUAGCGUCGUUGCGCGGACAGCAGAGGGUGCGGGUUCGAGUCCCGUCUGGCGCA